AUCUGCCCUGCACUUCGGGAUAAGCCUGGGAAACUGGGUCUAAUACCGGAUAUGACCUUCGGCUGCAUGGCUGAGGGUGGAAAGGUUUACUGGUGCAGGAUGGGCCCGCGGCCUAUCAGCUUGUUGGUGGGGUAAUGGCCUACCAAGGCGACAACGGGUAGCCGACCUGAGAGGGUGACCGGCCACACUGGGACUGAAACACGGCCCAAACUCCUACGGGAGGCAGCAGUGGGGAAUAUUGCACAAUGGGCGAAAGCCUGAUGCAGCGACGCCGCGUGAGGGAUGACGGCCUUCGGGUUGUAAACCUCUUUCAGCAGGGACGAAGCGAAAGUGACGGUACCUGCAAAAAAAGCACCGGCUAACUACGUGCCACAGCCGCGGUAAUACGUAGGGUGCAGCGUUGUCCGGAAUUACUGGGCGUAAAGAGUUCGUAGGCGGUUUGUCGCGUCGUUUGUGAAAACUCACAGCUCAACUGUGAGCCUGCAGGCGAUACGGGCAGACUUGAGUACUGCAGGGGAGACUGGAAUUCCUGGUGUAGCGGUGAAAUGCGCAAAUAUCAGGAGGAACACCGGUGGCGAAGGCGGGUCUCUGGGCAGUAACUGACGCUGAGGAACGAAAGCGUGGGUAGCAAACAGGAUUAGAUACCCUGGUAGUCCACGCCGUAACGGUGGGCGCUAGGUGUGGGUUCCUUCCACGGNNUCUGUGCCGUAGCUAACGCAUUAANCGCCCCCNCCUGGGAGNNNCGGCCGCAGGGCUAAANNUCAAGGAAAUUGACGGGGCCCCGCCAAGCGGCGGAACAUGUG
rnacentral:rRNA from 1 species